rnacentral:rRNA from 1 species
UACGAAGGGGGCUAGCGUUGUUCGGAAUCACUGGGCGUAAAGGGCGCGUAGGCGGCUGUGCAAGUCAGAUGUGAAAGCCCUGGGCUCAACCGUGGAAGUGCACUCGAAACUGCGCAGCUAGAGUCCUGGAGAGGAAGGUGGAAUGCUUGGUGUAGAGGUGAAAUUCGUAGAUAUCAAGCGGAACACCGGUGGCGAAGGCGGCCUUCUGGACAGUGACUGACGCUGAGACGCGAAAGCGUGGGGAGCAAACAGG